rnacentral:rRNA from 1 species
AGCGAACGCUGGCGGCAUGCCUAACACAUGCAAGUCGAACGAACUCUUCGGGGUUAGUGGCGGACGGGUGAGUAACACGUGGGAACGUGCCUUUAGGUUCGGAAUAACUCAGGGAAACAUGUGCUAAUACCGAAUGUGCCCGUCGGGGGAAAGAUUUAUCGCCUUUAAGGCGGCCCGCGUCUGUGUAGCUAGUUGGGGAGGUAAAGGCUCACCAAGGAUACGAUCAGUAGCUGGUCGGUGAGGAUUAUCAGCCACAUUGGGACUGACACACCGCCCAAACUCCUAAGGGAGGCAGCAGUGGGGAAUCUUGCGCAAUGGGCGAAAGCCUGACGCAGCCAUGCUGCGUGAAUGAUGAAGGUCUUAGGAUUGUAAAAUUCUUUCACCGGAGACGAUAAUGAUGGUACCCGAAGAAUAAGCCCCGGCUAACUUCGUGCCAGCCGCCGCUGUAAUAC